UUUUUAUAAGUUUUCACUAUAGCAAUUAGCAACUAGCUAGUAAUAAGUGUUUUUAGUUUACAAAGUAUUUUACAGGGUUCUAUCAUAAAUAAAAGAAGGAUAAUAUUACUAAAUAGCCAAAAAAACACAACGUAAAAUAGCAGAGAGAAAGGUUUUUGUUGCAAAUUAGUCAUGAACUCACAUUAUCAAACGAGGUGAAAUGACAAAACAAUCCUUCGUUUGUUGCAAGUUCAACAGUAGGCGAGACACUUGUGUGAGGUUUUACAAAAUAGCAUGUAACAUUUAAAUUUCACAUGUUAUAUUUAACUAAAAGACAUGAUAUUUAAAAAAAUAUAUCGUGUUAUUUUAAGAAAAAUCAUUGUUACAUAGUGGUUUUUUAAGAAAAAACAUUGUUAUGAAAAACAAAUCUG